rnacentral:rRNA from 1 species
CCUACGGGUGGCUGCAGUAGGGAAUAUUGCUCAAUGGGGGAAACCCUGAUGCAGCAACGCCGCGUGGGGGAUGAAGGAUUUAGGAUUGUAAACCCCUUUCAUUAGGGAAGAAUAUGACGGUAUCUGACUAAUAAGCACCGGCUAACUCCGUGCCAGCAGCCGCGGUAAUACGGAGGGGGCAAGCGUUAUCCGGAUUUACUGGGUGUAAAGGGUGCGUAGGCGGGGGCACAAGUCUGGAGUGAAAUGCCGUGGCUUAACCACAGAACUGCAUUGGAAACUGUGCAUCUAGAGUGCAGGAGAGGUAAGUGGAAUGCCUGGUGUAGCGGUGAAAUGCGUAGAGAUUAGGAGGAAUACCAGUGGCGAAGGCGACUUACUGGAAUAUAACUGACGCUGAUGCACGAAAGCGUGGGGAGCAAACAGGAUUAGAUACCCCAGUAGUC